rnacentral:rRNA from 1 species
AUUGAACGCUGGCGGCAUGCUUUACACAUGCAAGUCGAACGGUAACAGGCCGCAAGGUGCUGACGAGUGGCGAACGGGUGAGUAAUGCAUCGGAACGUGCCCAGUCGUGGGGGAUAACUACUCGAAAGAGUAGCUAAUACCGCAUACGAUCUAUGGAUGAAAGCGGGGGACUGUAAGGCCUCGCGCGAUUGGAGCGGCCGAUGUCAGAUUAGGUAGUUGGUGGGGGAAAGGCUCACCAAGCCAACGAUCUGUAGCUGGUCUGAGAGGACGACCAGCCACACUGGGACUGAGACACGGCCCAGACUCCUACGGGAGGCAGCAGUGGGGAAUUUCGGCCAAUGGGCGCAAGCCUGAUCCAGCAAUGCCGCGUGCAGGAAGAAGGCCUUCGGGUUGUAAACUGCUUUUGUACGGAACGAAACGGCUCUGGUUAAUACCCGGGGCUAAUGACGGUACCGUAAGAAUAAGCACCGGCUAACUACGUG